GUCAGCGUUUCCAUGGUAAGCGCCGCCUUUCAGGGAUUCAUCAUCCCAGCUGUAAAAAUCCGCUUUAUGCUAGGAUUUGGCAAGAGCUUCGGUCGCUUAAAAUCUAUAUAUUAUUAAAGAUUCUCCUUCGAAUCAAGACGGAAGCGUGGCUCAGAAUGGUGCUCUGCCCCUUGUGGCUGCGCUCCCUGCCAGCUCCGCUCGGCGCGGGCACCCGGGCACAGCCCCUGGCCCUCUCCGGAAGCCGCUUUGCCUUCCGGAAGUGGUUACGUGAAGGCGGCCUUGACCUCGUGGAGGCGAAGUGGCGAUGUCUGUGGGGUCCCGGCUGUGGGGCCGCAGGGGGCUGUUCUCCGAGCACUGGCUCGCUUGCUUCUCUCCCGCGUCCCGGGUCCCAGGGCCAGCGAGGGGAGGGACAGGGGUCCGCACGACCACACGACACGCUGGGUUCCUCGGCUCCCGAGGCCGGGACCCCUGGUGACAUCACAGUGGCAGAAUGUCCAGUUGACUCGGCAACCUCAGGCUCGUUCUGAUUUUAGCUUGCAGCCUGGGCUCCGGUGAUGUGAGGAGAAUCAGGCAGCGAGAUUACAUUAUCAGCCGAAGGAGGAGGCAGUUCGAGUAAAACAGGACCCAGUCUGAACCUUCGUCCCCUCGCACCAAAGCCACCUCUGCUUGGCCUCAAAUAAGACCAAAUUUACCGAAGCUUUGGGGGAGAGCCAGAAUGGGAGCCCGGGUCCCCCGGGUGUCUCACUUCUGCAGGAGGCGGGGCCUUGUGACGGAGCUCGCGCUGAGCAGAAACGUGGGAAGCUGCCUGGCUUUGAUUCCAGCCUCUGCCUUCCUCACUGUGUGACCUUGACUGAAUUACCCAGCCUUUCUGAGUGUCUCCUAUCUCACGGCAAGAUGUCAAGGGGAAGAUUUAGCCACCACCCAGCCCCUCUCCAGCUUGGUGGCCCCAGGCCUGCUGUGAGUGGGGCGGGAAAGAGGAAGAGAGGAAGAGAUUCUCAUAGCGACUCCUCUUACUGUGCAAAGGCCCGCUCCUGGUCAAGUUCAUGCCCAGCACUUUGGUUUUUUAUCUGUUUGCUUACCGCUUCCUGGGUCAAAACAAAAGUAAAAUGCUGCGGGUCUUGUGGUCGCUCUACGACAUUUCUGUCGUUUCUUCAGGAGUGCACGCUUGACUUGACCAAGCUCAGCAGGAGGAAUUGUCUUGUAGAAGCUCAGUCUGGACCCGGGGACAGGGCUUCUGGACCCAUCAUUCCGAUGAAAACAACCCAAGUAUCCACAGGGAUUUUCACCGGCGCAUCGCUAAGAGCUUUACAAGUAACAGCGAAUCUUCACAGAAGCCUUCACAGACUGGCAGGCAGUGAAAAGAUAGAAAAAAUACAGAAAUAAGAAGAGAGCCUGAGUGGUUGUGGACCGUCAGGAGGAGUGGGAGCAACGUCCAGAAGAUUAAGGAAUUUCUAAGCAAUAGAAGGUCAGUGAUGAGAUGAACAGGAAACCGCGAUGCUGGAGAGCUGAAGGCACAGCCGUCACAGGUGAAUUCUCCCCACAGAGUUCCAGAACAGAGGCAACAGACACUGGGUGCACGUGUGAGCAGACAAUGGACCGGAGGGCGGUUCCUUCCUGCCGUCCACUCAUGGCUCUCCUGAGCGCACACAGUCACCUGAGGCUGGCCCCUGUAUCCCAGACUGCAUUCCUGGCCAGGCAAAUGGGAUUCUCGUGGGGGAAAGGAGGUGCUCCCCAGCCACCUCGCAGAUGGUCUGCCCAGAUGUUCCUCUACAAGUGUCAACAGACAAUCGAGAAUUGCCAGACAUUUCCGAAAAGCCAGAGCCUGAGAGAAGCACAAAAAAUAGAACUGACUCCAUGAAAACAGAACUAACACCUGAAACAGAAGAAAACUUUAAUUCAAAUGAAUAUCCUUGAGAGAGCCUUCCAGAGAGCAUCUUGGGAACAGCUAUGAAAAUCUUAAAUAUAAUGCAACACUUGCAUGUGUAGGAAUCCAUUCUGCAGAAAUUUUCACCCAGGUCCGCAAAGACAUAUGGACAAGGCAUUGGGCCAUCGUUCAUUGGGCCAUACCAAUAAUCGUGACUAUUGGAAAUCAUUUCUGGACCCUAGAGAAAAACUCACCUGUGUGCACAAACGUGUUUACUGCACAUUUGCCUGCAGAUGUGAAAAUUAGCAGCACCCUGAAUGGCUAUCCGUCGGAGAAUGGUCCAAUAAAUACUAUGAAAUUUCAUGGCCCCAUUGAAAACAAUGAGCUACUGACAGGUACUGGCAUCAGAAGAUCUCCAAGAAAUGUUAAGGGGAAAACAAUCCCGCAGAACAAUACAUACAGCAUGCCACAUACAAAAAAACCCAAAUAAAUCCACACGCAGAAUCUGUAUCUCUGUAGGUACUUACAUAUGUGAAUAAAUGCAUAAAAACCAGUGAAGGUCAAACACCAAGCUGAUAGAAACAGCUAGAGAC